UGGGGAAUAUUGGGCAAUGGACGCAAGUCUGACCCAGCAACGCCGCGUGAAGGAAGAAGGCUUUCGGGUUGUAAACUUCUUUUAAGGGGGAAGAGCAGAAGACGGUACCCCUUGAAUAAGCCACGGCUAACUACGUGCCAGCAGCCGCGGUAAUACGUAGGUGGCAAGCGUUGUCCGGAUUUACUGGGUGUAAAGGGCGUGCAGCCGGAGAGACAAGUCAGAUGUGAAAUCCACAGGCUCAACCUGUGAACUGCAUUUGAAACUGUUUCCCUUGAGUAUCGAAGAGGUCAUCGGAAUUCCUAGUGUAGCGGUGAAAUGCGUAGAUAUUAGGAAGAACACCAGUGGCGAAGGCGGAUGACUGGACGACAACUGACGGUGAGGCGCGAAAGCGUGGGGAGCAAACA
rnacentral:rRNA from 1 species